rnacentral:lncRNA from 1 species
CUUUGUGAAGUCGUCGACCGAGUGAAUAAAGCCGAUAUCUCUGGGCGAGAAGCAGGUUGGACCAUCCUCUGGGUUUCUUCUUGGUGGAGGAUUGCGUAGCAUUGGCCAAUGGAGGGAAGGGGGUCUAUAGCCAGGAUUUGAGACCUGAGUUGUUGAAAACUGUCGUUCAGUCCCAUAAGAAAUUGAUACACCCGAUCGGAGUCUUGGAUGUCAAAAAGAGCCUUAGCUACACCACAGGUACAUGGGUUGUAAGGAUCCCAAUUCAUCCCAUAGUUCCUUCAGUUUGCUGUAGUACUUGGUGAUUGAUUGGUUCUCUUGAUGAAGAUUGGCGAGUUCUCGUUUCAGCCGAAAGAUUUUGGUGCGGUUGCUUUGUUGAAACCUUGUCUCCAAUUCUGUCCAGAGAUCAUUCGGUGUGUCACAUUAGAUGAGGCUUCCUGCAAGGGAACGGUUGAUGGAUUGAAGAAGCCGGGACAUAAUCAUAUCGUAACAUCGAUCCCAAAGUUGAGCAGCAACC